CCUACGGGUGGCAGCAGUGGGGAAUUUUGGACAAUGGGCGCAAGCCUGAUCCAGCCAUGCCGCGUGUAUGAAGAAGGCCUUAGGGUUGUAAAGUACUUUUGUUAGGGAAGAAAAGGCAUUUGCUAAUACCAGAUGCUGUUGACGGUACCUAAAGAAUAAGCACCGGCUAACUACGUGCCAGCAGCCGCGGUAAUACGUAGGGUGCGAGCGUUAAUCGGAAUUACUGGGCGUAAAGCGAGCGCAGACGGUUACUUAAGCAAGAUGUGAAAUCCCCGAGCUCAACUUGGGAACUGCGUUUUGAACUGGGUAGCUAGAGUAUGUCAGAGGGGGGUAGAAUUCCACGUGUAGCAGUGAAAUGCGUAGAGAUGUGGAGGAAUACCGAUGGCGAAGGCAGCCCCCUGGGAUGAUACUGACGUUCAUGCUCGAAAGCGUGGGUAGCAAACAGGAUUAGAUACCCUUGUAGUC
rnacentral:rRNA from 1 species